UGAGCAAGACUUCCUGAGGAGAAAUUACCUAUCCUGAGGUAUGUGUGUGUGUGGGGGGGGUCUUCCUGAAGAGAGAUGACCAAUCCUGAGCGAGACUUUCUGAGGAGGGAUGACCUGAUCCUGAGCAAGACUUUCUGAGGAGAGAUGACCAAUCCUGAGGAGAGGCUUCCUGAAGAGAGAUGACCAAUACUGAGGGGAGGCUUCCUGAGAAGACAUAACCAAUCCUGAGCAACACUUCCUGAAGAGGGAUGACCCGAUCCCGAGGGGAGGCUUCCUGAGGAGAGAUGACCAAUCCUGAGCAAGACUUUCUGAGGAGAGAGGACUGAUCCUGAGGGGGACCUUCCUAAAGAAACAUGACCAAUCCCAAGCAAGACUUUCUGAGGAGGGAUGACCUGAUCCAGAGGGCAGGCUUCCUGAGGAGAGAUGACCAAUCCUGGAGGCGGCGGGGGGAAGGCCUUCUGAGGAGAGAUGACCCAAGAGAGAUAUACAGAGAGAGCACAAGUAGGCAGAGAAGCAGGCAGAGGGAGAGGGAGAAGCAGACUCUCCACCGAGCAGAGCGCCCGACGUGGGGCUCGAUCCCACGACCCUGAGAUCAUGACCUGAGCCGAAGGCAGACGUCCAACUGACUGAGCCACCCAGGCGCCCCUUGGAGAUUCUUCUAUAUCAGCAUGGCACGCAGGAGUCCCUUCCUGUCUUCAGGGCUGGAAGCGCUUAUAAAUGCCCAUCACGGGCAGCAGGACCACUUGGCUUCUGUGAGAGCUUCUGUGCAGAAGAAGAGGUGUGUGUUCUCUCAAAUGUGCGAUGUUCGCUCGGGUCUUGCCCAUGCAGCAGCCACAUGCUCUUCUCGCUACGACCCUGGACUUGCCACGGUUACCCGCCAUCUGGGAUGGACCGCUCACAUCUUUUUCAGAAUGCCACUGAUAAAUUCUGGUCAAGUGUCUGCUCAAAAUGCUGAAGACCCUCAGUUAGGAUGCCUACCGCCUUCCUGUGCCCGGUCACCUUACUUAUAAGGUCAAAAGCGCAGCCUGUGAGGAACUCACAACAUCCUCCACAUAUAAACUGAGAAAACCGAGGCACAGAAAGAUUAAGCCUGGGUCUCUAUCAGGUGAAGAAGAAUUUGAGUCCAGAGGCUUCUCUGACCCCUGCAGCUCCACAGGGUCCCAUCCUCACCCUCAACCCAAGGGCCUACUG